CAAAUUCUCCCUUUUAAAGUCUUGAUGUCGUAGUUCAUGUCGACACGAGUUUUCGGGGGUCUUCGGAGUAUUUAUUGGAGUUUGAGUUAUUUUUUUUACGUUUUAUCGAAGGUUUGGUAAAAGAAAAAUAAUUUUAUGAAAUUAGAAAAUAACUUUUAAUCUGGGCCAUCAGAUCAAUUAGGGUUUUGAUCUGGGCCAUUGAUUUAAGUUUAAAAAUGGAAGAGAAGAGUUGACAUUGGAACAACCCACAUUUGGGCGUUGACCCGAGCCUAGCCCUCUCCCUCUUCCUCUCCGGCUGCCUCCUCUGCUCCGGCGUGGCGUCGCCAGCUCCGGCCGCCGCACGCCACGAAACCGCCACCAAUCUCUUCCUCUCCUUCUUCUCUUCAAAACCCAGUAAUCAAAUUCUACAAACAACCUCGAAUUCUUGGAGAUCGAAAUCAAGGGUGCUCCACUGAGUUCACCGGAAUCCGGCGAACUCCGGCGUCGCCUUUGAUGACAGGUAUUCUCUCGUUCGCCUCUCUUCCCUCUUCCUUUCGGUGUCUUCCUCUUCCUCUUCUUAAUUCAAGCUCUAACUUGAAAAACUCGAUGUUCUGACUAAAUUGGGAUUUCCGGCGAGCCAUCGCCAUUGACGCCGACGAGGCUGCUCGGUGCUCCUCCUCUCCUUCCUGAAGUGGCAUCGAUCACCAGGGAGCCAGUACUAGGUUAUAUGGAGACAAGGGGUGUUUCUGCUGCUGUGUUGGAGGAGACCCGAACUCAGAUUUCCGGCAAGGAAGUUACUGCCGGCGAGGGGAAGCUUUGGGACGCCGCUGUUGUUGUGCUGCAGCGAAGUAGGGGGCUGCUUGUAGGUUAGGUGGUGGUGAGAGGUCUCUGCUUAUCGAUUGAGGGUGAAGGUUGGUUGAGCAGAGGGCAGUGUUGAUGUCCAUCGGCAGAUUUGAUGGCAGGGGUAAGUUUAUGUACUUUCAAAUGUAUCUGAGUUGAGUGGGAUGCUUGAGUUUGGAGAUGGUUUAUGGCUGAUUUUGUUAUUUUGGUUGUUGUAUGUCAAUAACUUGGGGAUGAGAGGAUAUAAGGAGACUAUGGCAAAAUUCCGGCAAGUCACCGGAUUCCGGCGAGGCAACAGUUCCGGCUGAAUCCGUGAAGCUUAUCGAUUGACUCGAGAAUGUGAAUAGUUGGAGGCAGCGUUUGAGGAGUAUUCCGAGCAUUGGAAAGCUUAGGCUUAACCUGAUGACUUAGUUGAGAUCGGGCGUACAUGAAGACGAGAUAUAGUCUAUUUUAUAGCUUAUGCCUAUUUGUAUAUUGUUGUUUUUUUCUUUCAAUAUUAGAGUUGCUCUGAACCUAUAUUGUUAGUUGUGGACUUAUAUUUAGUUUAGUAUUUGAAUUUGGGAGAUGUUGUGUAUUUGGGGAGCA